rnacentral:rRNA from 1 species
UACGUAGGGUGCAAGCGUUAUCGGAAUUACUGGGCGUAAAGCGUGCGUAGACGGUUACAUAAGUCGGGUGUGAAAGCCCCGGGCUCAACCUGGGAAUUGCAUUUGAGACUGCGUAGCUAGGGUGCGGAAGAGGGAAGCGGAAUUUCCGGUGUAGCGGUGAAAUGCGUAGAGUAUCGGAAGGAACACCAGUGGCGAAAGCGGCUUCCUGGUCCAGCACCGA